CCAGUAAGUCAUNAUGNCUUGGUCUUCAAAGAUUAAGCCCAUGCAUGUNUAAGUAAUAAGCAACUNGUANCGGUGAAAACUGGGAAAUGGGCUCAUUAAAUCAGUUAUCGUUUAUUUGAUAGUACCUUACUACAUGGAUAACCGUGGUAAUUCUAGAGCUAAUACAUGCUAAAAACCUCGACUUCCGGAAGGGGUGUAUUUAUUAGAUAAAAAACCAAUGCCCUUCGGAGCUCCUUGGUGAAUCAUAAUAACUUAACGAAUCGCAUGGCCUUGCGCCGGCGAUGGUUCAUUCAAAUUUCUGCCAUAUCAACUUUCGAUGGUAGGAUAGUGGCCUACCAUGGUAUCAACGGGUAACGGGGAAUUAGGGUUCGACUCCGGAGAGGGAGCCUGAGAAACGGCUACCACAUCCAAGGAAGGCAGCAGGCGCGCAAAUUACCCAAUCCCGACACGGGGAGGUAGUGACAAUAAAUACUGAUACAGGGCUCUUUUGGGUCUUGUAAUUGGAAUGAGUACAAUUUAAAUCCCCUUAACGAGGAACAAUUGGAGGGCAAGUCUGGU
rnacentral:rRNA from 1 species